rnacentral:snoRNA from 1 species
AGUGCCAAAUCAGCAAUUGCAACAUUCUCUCAAGGUGCUGAUGAGCCUUUGUGUGAAGCUUGGGAGAGAUAUAAAUCCUUGCUGAGGAAAUGCCCGAAUCAUGGGUU